UGAGUUAUCUAGUAAACCCAAGUGGUAGAACACAAAUCUAGCAAGUUUUGAAACCUUUGGGGCUAUUUUCCCCAAAAUAGUCCACUUUGAAUGUUAAGGGUUCAAAACCCUAAAAUAGUUACUAUUCCAUUUUUCUUGAGGCUAUUUCGGUCAGUUUCUAGUCUUUAAAAAUCUAGGAAAAAAUCACAGAGGUACCUUGAGAAGUUAUUACAUGUAGGAAAAAGAUCGGACGCGUUUCGAUGUAUAGGUUGUGCGUAAUGGCUAUUUCUGUAAAGGACUCCAAAAUAUUAACCUUCGAAUAUCUCACUGUGUAUACACUAGAAAAUUCCGAAAUUUGUACAGUAG
rnacentral:lncRNA from 1 species